rnacentral:tRNA from 1 species
GCCCGGAUGGCGAAAUUGGUAGACGCAGCGGCCUUAAAAGCCGCAGGCCGAGAGGCCGUACCGGUUCAAUUCCGGUUCCGGGCACCA